rnacentral:ribozyme from 1 species
AGCAACAAUCGCAAUCUCUGUCGUUGCAGCGCCCCACGCAUGGCCAUUACCACUCAGUGCCACACCCAGCCACUGCGCAUUACCGUGCUGUUCCUGCGCGACAGCCCAUCAACUCGUACUCGCAUCCACCGCCAGUGCUCAAUGCGAGU